CACGUAGUUAGCCGGAGCUUAUUCCUCAGGUACCGUCAAAUUCCUCUUUCUUCCCUGAUAAAAGAACUUUACAUUACGAAUAACUUCUUCGUCCACGCGGCGUUGCUCGGUCAGGGUUCCCCCCAUUGCCGAAAAUUCCCUACUGCUGCCUCCCGUAGGAGUAUGGACCGUUCUCAGUUCCAUUGUGGCCGUUCAACCUCUCAGUCCGGCUACGCAUCAUCGCCUUGGUAGGCCCUUACCCCACCAACUAGCUAAUGCGCCACAGGCCCCUCCUUAAGCAGAUCUCUCUUUUAAAUAUAAAAGAUUCUUCCUCUAUAUCCUAUCCAGUUUUAUCCAUCGUUUCCAAUGGCUAUCCUCGUCUUAAGGGUAGGUUACCUAUGUAUUACUCACCCGUUCGCCACUAAAGUACCCGAAGGUACUUCCGUUCGACUUGCAUGUAUUAGGCACGCCGCCAGCGUUAAUCCUGAGCCAGGAUCAAACUCU
rnacentral:rRNA from 1 species